rnacentral:rRNA from 1 species
UGGGGAAUAUUGCACAAUGGAGGGAACUCUGAUGCAGCGACGCCGCGUUAGUGAUGAAGGACUUCGUUUCGUAAAACUCUGUUCUAUGGGAAGAAAAGGACUGUACCAUAGGAGAAAGCUCCGGCUAAAUACGUGCCAGCAGCCGCGGUAAUACGUAUGGAGCGAGCGUUGUCCGGAAUUAUUGGGCGUAAAGGGUGCGCAGGCGGCUUUACAAGUUGGAUGUGAAAUAUUGUGGCUCAACCACAAACGUGCAUCCAAAACUGCAAAGCUUGAGUUAAGGAGAGGUAAGUGGAAUUCCUGGUGUAGCGGUGGAAUGCGUAGAUAUCAGGAGGAAUACCGGUGGCGAAGGCGACUUACUGGACUUAAACUGACGCUCAGGCACGAAAGCGUGGGGAGCAAACAGG